GUUUACGGCCAUACCACCCUGAGAACGCCCGAUCUCGUCUGAUCUCGGAAGCUAAGCAGGGUCGGGCCUGGUUAGUACUUGGAUGGGAUUCCGCCUGGGAAUACCAGGUGCUGUAAGCU
ensembl:rRNA 5S_rRNA 5S ribosomal RNA